rnacentral:SRP_RNA from 1 species
GCCGGGCGUAGUGGUGCACGCCUGUAAUCCCAGCUACUCAGGAGGCUGAGGCAGGAGAAUUGCUUGAACCCAGGAGGUGGAGGUUGCAGUGAGCCAAGAUCACACCACUGCACUCCAGCCUGGGUGACAGAGUGAGACCCUGUCUCAA